rnacentral:rRNA from 1 species
AGAGUUUGAUUAUGGCUCAGAAACGGCAUGGCAGCUGCUUUCCAUGCAAGUCGUACGGCAGCGCGGGCUUCGGCCUGGCGGCGAGUGGCGAACGGGUGAGUAAUACAUCGGAACGUGCCCAGUAGCUGGGGGAUAGCCCGGCGAAAGCCGGAUUAAUACCGCAUACGACCUGAGGGUGAAAGCGGGGGACCGAAAGGCCUCGCGCUAUUGGAGCGGCCGAUGUCGGAUUAGCUAGUUGGUGGGGUAAAGGCCUACCAAGGCGACGAUCCGUAGCUGGUCUGAGAGGACGACCAGCCACACUGUGGACUGAUACACGGCCCACACUCCUACGGGAGGCAGCACUGGGGAAUUUUGGACAAUGGGGGCAACCCUGAUCCAGCCAUGCCGCGUGCGGGAAGAAGGCCUUCGGGUUGUAAACCGCUUUUGUCAGGGAAGAAAUCCUCUGGGCUAUCCCCGGGGGGGAUGACGGACCUGAAAAUAACACCGGCUACUACGUGCCUCAGCCGCGGUAUUCGUAGGGUGCGAGCGUUAUCGGAAUUACUGGGCCUAAAGAUGCUCUCGCGAUGUGCAAGAUUAUGUGAAACCCCUGGCUCCCCUGGCAACUGCGUUUGGACUGCCGGCUCAGUGCGCAGAUGGAGUGUAAUUCCCGUGUACAGUGAAUGCGUAGCUUGCGGAGGACACCUAUGCGAAUGUGCUCCAUGACCUGCACUGACCUCAUGCCGAUACGUGCGGAGCAACUGAUCAAUACCUGGUAUCCACGCCCUAACGAUUCACUGGUGUUGUCUUCAUGCAUCAGUACGUACUACGCUGAGUUGACGCCUGGGAUACGGCGCAUGUGAACUCAAUGAUUGCGGGG